AACGUAGGACGCAAGCGUUAUCCGGAGUUACUGGGCGUAAAGGGCGUGCAGGCGGCUUGUCAAGUGGGAUGUCAAAGCGCACAGCUUAACUGAGCGAGGCCAUUCCAAACUGAUGAGCUGGAGGGCAGUAGAGGUAGGCGGAAUUCCGGGUGGAGUGGUGAAAUGCGUAGAGAUCCGGAGGAACACCAGAGGCGAAGGCGGCCUACUGGGCUGCACCUGACGCUGAGCCGCGAAAGCCAGGGGAGCGAACGGG
rnacentral:rRNA from 1 species